CUUUGGGAUUGGUCUCAAGUGGUCCUGGAGACAUUCUCUCCACAGUUUCCUUUUUCAUCUAUGUAAUUACAUGGUCCAGACUAUUUACUGUGAAAGUACUGGUCUCUUAGCCUGUAAGGCUUGUGCAUGAUGUAUAUGAGAGCGAUUUCCAGCAGAGAGAAGCUUAUCACAGAUCCACCUAAAAGAUGAGAUCUUCUACCAGUGCUGACAAACAAAAAAAAAAAAAAAAAGGAAGCACAACAAAAACCUGAAUAUCAACAAGAAGAUUCACAUUCACAGAGGAAUGCAAUCAAAAAUGAUGCUGCAAAUCAAGCCUAGAAUCAGACCAUCACAAAUUCAAAAACUUUUAGCUAUUUGCAAUUAUGAUGGAACAAAAAAGAUAGAAUGGGGUAAACAGAGAAGAAGCAAAGGAUUAAAGGAUAAAGACAGGACAGAGGAAGCUUGAACAGUAGGCAGCAGGCAAGAACAGAGCUGUCAUUUGACUGAUAAAUCAUUCUCUUAAUCAACUGUGCCAGCCAAAGAAAGCCUGAGUAAGCAGCUACAAAUGAAGAAACUUUAACUGAUUU
rnacentral:lncRNA from 1 species